AGCGAACGCUGGCGGCAGGCCUAACACAUGCAAGUCGAACGAACUCUUCGGAGUUAGUGGCGGACGGGUGAGUAACACGUGGGAACGUGCCUUUUGGUUCGGAAUAACUCAGGGAAACUUGUGCUAAUACCGAAUGUGCCCUUCGGGGGAAAGAUUUAUCGCCAUUAGAGCGGCCCGCGUCUGAUUAGCUAGUUGGUGAGGUAACGGCUCACCAAGGCGACGAUCAGUAGCUGGUCUGAGAGGAUGACCGGCCACACUGGGACUGAGACACGGCCCAGACUCCUACGGGAGGCAGCAGUGGGGAAUCUUGCGCAAUGGGCGAAAGCCUGACGCGGCCAUGCCGCGUGAAUGAUGAAGGUCUUAGGAUUGUAAAAUUCUUUCACCGGGGACGAUAAUGACGGUACCCGGAGAAGAAGCCCCGGCUAACUUCGUG
rnacentral:rRNA from 1 species